GGGGGCGAAAUGGUUUCGACGGGAUAUUUGUUUUGUGAGAAGCGAGUCAGGGGUGCCUGCCUCCCUGUGAAAAAGGUUGGACAAAUAAUAAACGUCAAUCCUGAAUACGCACUUGCUGCUUAACUAGAUAAGUAGCCGUUCUUGUGUCUUUUGCCCGGGAGGACAUAAAGAACGUCAGAAAUCCGGACUACCUGAAAUGGAAUUGUACCCGGCCAUUCCAGGGAAUUUAAGGGUUCUCGAUCGAACGAAACGUGCCUGUGCGGGGCGUUCGACGACUGCAAUCACAGGCUGCGCUCGGAGAAGCUCACAGGGCAUGUGUUUCGGACGUGGGUUCGAUUCCCAUCGCCUCCACCA
rnacentral:tmRNA from 1 species